CUACGGGUUGCUGCAGUGGGGAAUAUUGCACAAUGGGCGCAAGCCUGAUGCAGCCAUGCCGCGUGUAUGAAGAAGGCCUUUGGGUCGUAAAGCUCUUUUCUUGGGGAAGAUAGUGACGGUACCCGCAGAAGAAGCACCGGCUAACUCCGUGCCAGCAGCCGCGGUAACACGGAGGGUGCAAGCGUUAAUCGGAAUUACUGGGCGUAAAGCGCACGCAGGCGGUUUGUUAAGUCAGAUGUGAAAUCCCCGGGCUCAACCUGGGAACUGCAUCUGAUACUGGCAAGCUUGAGUCUCGUAGAGGGGGGUAGAAUUCCAGGUGUAGCGGUGAAAUGCGUAGAGAUCUGGAGGAAUACCGGUGGCGAAGGCGGCCCCCUGGACGAAGACUGACGCUCAGGUGCGAAAGCGUGGGGAGCAAACAGGAUUAGAUACCCUCGUAGUC
rnacentral:rRNA from 1 species